UGUCCAGUCCAAAAUUAAAGCGCCGCGCUGAAUGGCUCUGCCGAGGGUCCUCCGAGAGUCUCCGCGCGCUCUUCCGAGACUCGCCAAGCGGACUCGAGAGACCGCUUUUCAGCGCUUUGUUUUAGCGCGGAGCGCUAGCGUCGAGACGACGAACGCGGCGCUCGUCGACGACGCGCGUCUCGCCCCGUGAAGACCCAGUGUCGUCCUUACUCGCGCGUGUUCGUUGCGCCUCUCGAGGACACGCGCGUUUGAAUUCUUCCCCCCGAGUAACUCCGCCGCGAGUCGCGAUCUCCGCUCGAUGAUUCUUCGCAGCGGCGAUCUGCCGUAAGCGAAUGCGACGUUUUGUGAGCGUCCGCUCAUAAAAUAUGAGGAAACGAGUCGCGCUCUUAUCACAGCGGUAAAUAGGCUGUCUCGAGCUGCACUGUCUCGUGCAAAACACGUGGAGACGUGUCGCGUUCGAAUUCCCGAGAGAAGAUCAUUCUCGCGCAAACUCGCCGGCAAACCGACAUCCACGGUGUCGAUUAAUCGGUAUUGUUUAAGAGCACGCGUAUCGGCGUGCAGCGCGAGCCGGCUCCUCCUACGUUCGAAGUUGUUGAAGCAGCUUGGAUUAAUGAUAAGCCGCGCUGCGAACGCCUCGGAGUUCCCGGCGAGUACACCGAGCGAGAGUCCGUUUCCGGGUACAUUUGCCGGGGAAGAACGCGCUGGCGGAUCGUAUAAUUCGACAUCCGCGUGAAACUGCGACGAACUGCGAGGAGAUGACGAGGAGUCGGAAGAUCAGCGGCCGCUCGCUCGUUCCGGUCGCCGGCGCUCGCGUCGCGGAGGCAGUCACGUAUCCUAAAAGCGCGCCGGUACGGUAAUAAUAUACAAUUGCGGGGGCAACCGCGCGGGAUUGCACGCUCGGCUCUAAAUCGCGUCUGUAUUCAUUGAGCGAUGAAUGAGUGAUAUCGCAGUGCAGACUCGUGCGGACUCGUGCAUUUUCAUAGCUGGCCGGCCGUAACUCCACUGCGACGGAGGCAGUCGUCUCCCUCGAAUGAAGGGAAGGAAGGGAAAGAAGAAGGAAAGGACCCUCGGCCGGCUCCAGCACAACCCGUGCACGACCCUUGGAUGGCGUUCCAUGCGGCGCGAAUCGCGACGUUUUUGUUUUGAAUUUAUUGUUCUCGCGGGCUGCCGGUUAUUUCGAGUCGCUCGAUCGCUCCGGGAACGAAUAAAAGGGUAGGAGAGGAGAGAUCAAGCGUAGCAGGGCGAAGUCAUCGACUCGAGCUCUUGCCGGCAGGCGUUCUGCAUCGGGCUCUGCAAUCUCCAAGUUUUCAGGAUCAGCCACCGGCGCGGCGGCACAGAGACGUUGAUUUGUCUUAGAGAAAAGAGAAAAGGAGGCGCAAAAGCUGUUGAAUGCGCGAGGCACGUCCCGAUCCGACGCAAUGAGCCAGCUGUCGCGCAGCAGCGACGUCUUAAUCCCGUAGAAAUUUCCGCGGGACGGUCUCGCCGGAGGAAGGAGGAGGAGCAGCAGG